rnacentral:misc_RNA from 1 species
GAUGAAGAACGUAGUGAAAUGCGAUAAGUAAUGUGAAUUGCAGAAUUCAGUGAAUCAUCGAGUCUUUGAACGCACAUUGCGCCCCCUGGUAUUCCGGGGGGCAUGCCUGUCCGAGCGUCAUUGCCGCCCUCAAGCACGGCUUGUGUGUUGGGCCCCCGCCCCCCGGCUUCGGGGGGCGGGCCCGAAAGGCAGCGGCGGCACCGCGUCCGGUCCUCGAGCGUAUGGGGCUUCGUCACCCGCUCUGUAGGCCCGGCCGGCGCCCGCCGGCGACCCCAAUCAAUCUUUCCAGGUUGACCUCGGAUCAGGUAGGGAUACCCGCUGAGCUUAAGCAUAUCAAUAAGCGGAGGA